CGAGGUAGUAUUGAAGUCAAACUUGUUGUUCCUGGUUGCUAAAUCUGCUGGAUUUUCCGUUCCAGGAACCCAAUUGCACAAGCGGGGUGGUCUUCCAUCUUCGCGCAAUAUGCCUUUGCAAGUUCAUCGUCCUGAUCCAGCUUUUUCUCAACUGCAUACAGUCUCUUCAAUGCCAUUUCUUUCGAUGACGGGACACUUGGAGGAUCCACCUGCUUCCAUAGCAGGCCAGUUUCAAAGCGCCCAUCCGGAGUUUUCUUUGUUGUUCGCUGCAUAAUUUCCAGUGCUCUCUUGUCUUCACGUGAUAGCGCCUUUCCGGGCACUCCCGUAUCAUGAGACUCCAUCACGAAAGUAUUUUUCACCAUUUCCAUCAGUUCAUCAUGUCGCUCUACAAUGGAAUAGAGCUUUUCCUCAGCGGGAGGAUUUUCAACACACAUUUUGCCCAUCACUACCCAACCCAGCAAUGUACGGACAAGGUAAGGGGCAUGCCAUGGUCCCUUGAUAAUCUCCAAACUCGAGAUAAGAGGCGUGUUGUCCAAUCCAAUCAAUAUCUCGGGUACGGCGUCCUCCAUGGAUUCUACCGGUGCUUCCGCGAGAUGUUUCCAGUGGCUGGACAGUAAGGCAAUGUCCACAGUUUGUUUUGGCAAAGUCAAUUCUGCCACAGUGCGCACAUUUUUCAACAAAUAGCGCUUUGCACGAGGGAAAGUUCCCUGGAUUCUGCACUCCACAAUCCUUGAAGUCAGAUCAGAACACAUUUCCGGAACGGCUCCUUGCCAUGUCAAAGGUGCAUUGCGUCCAGUGACGCCCAAUCGAUCAGCCAACGAUUGCUUCAUCAAAGUAAGUGUAGAUCCCUCAUCCAGGAAAGCGUACACCUUAAAUGUUCCAUUUGGUCCCAUAAUAUGAACGGGAAGAAUUUUCAUCAAAGUUUUAUCCGGUAUUGCCACGUGUGCCACUGUGUUGGCUGGAGGUGUCUCUGCCCCCUCCUGUGAAGGAGGCUCCUCUACUGUGACAUUCAAUGAUUCAUCUGUUGAUGCAUUUUGUACCACCGGGGAAGCAUCCUUGUGAAGUAAAGUAUGAUGCGGUGCCUUGCAGUUGGGCUUCGAACAUCCAUCUUUAGCUUUGCAGUUUGUCGCUGAAUGAUUUGGCUUCAGACAUCGGAAGCAAACCUUUUUAUUUUUGGCGAGAUUCCACCGAUCUGCCACAGAAAGUUUCCCGAAGGUGUCGCAUUUGUGAGGAGGGUGAGUCCCCUGGCAGAAAGCGCAUAUCGCUUUUGGUGCCUUUUCAUUUUUCUGUUCUGUAACUGUAGCUACAGUUUUGCCUUUUUCUGGUUUCUUUUCCACACGUGUCGACUCUUGUACCUGGAGCCGGUAAUUUGCCGCCUUGGCUUUGACGGAAAUCCAUGCAGAGAAAGUUCGCAGUCCCUGUGUUGGAGAUCCUUUAGUGACGCAGAAUUCCGACCACGAAAUUUGCAUGGCCAGAGGCAAUUUCGGCAAUAGCUCGUCCAAGAGCUGAGGAUUAUCGAUGUAGCAACCUCGAUUGAAGCGCACAACGGCAGCAACCAUGUUUGAGAGAGCCACAGAGAGCUUAACCAAAGUCUCUGGCUUAUCAGCUUUGACGGGUGGCAUCGCUUUAAUCUGAGCAAUCAUCGUCCUGAUCAGGUGCUCAGGUUGUCCAUAUCUCUCCUCCAGCGAUGACAUAAUCAAGUCCACAUUUUCGGGUGAGUACAGCAAGAAUCUCACUGUCUCUUUUGCCUCUCCUUGUAGGCAUUUUUGCAACAAAGCAAGCUUUUCAGCACUCGCAUAUUGACACGUUGUCGUCAAAUUCUCGUACCAGGCAAGAAACAAUGGCCAAUCCUGCACAUUUCCAUCAAAUUUGUGAGCAUCCGUACCCACCGAUUGCCUCAUCAUAAGACGUUCCAUCAUUUGAACCAUAUCCUGAUUCUGCUUGACGGGCUUUUGCUCCUUCCCGGCAUUCACAGCCGCCUCCAGAGCGCAUUGAAGGUCAUCAGCUGACAUAGUGACGAUCUUCUGUUUUGGAACUUCCUCUUGAUGCUCCUUUGAUGAGUUCCGGAGUUUAUCAAAUCUCCCUAGAACCUCAUCCAAUUUGUCCUCCGACAAGUCAAUCUGGUUAUUUUGAGACGCUUUUUCAGUGUGAUGGUUGAGCUCAUCAUUGCCCAACGGAGAAUCUUCCUGUGCCUUGAGAAGACUACGACGCGUUUUCAAAUUGCUGAUUUCCAGCUUCAACAUCUCCAAUUCUAAUUCUUUCUGCUUCCUCUCAGCAUCAAGAUCAUCAUUUUCCUCAAAACCAUAGCGAUUCGGAGGAACACCUUUAUUUUGUCGUUUGCUCCUACGGGGCGCCAUUUUGUCAAAUCAAUCAAUGUACCACACACCGCAGAUCCGUGGGUCGCUUUUUCGAUCUUUGGGUCGAUGGACCAAUUGUUAGGGAUCGCAAUUCAAGUAGUGGACUGUAUUUAUAUUUUAUUUCCAAAGUUAAUCUACGGUGUGGGUGGGUGGCAAGGAUGGCAAAUAAAUGAGUUGUAUUAGGCAAAUGAGGUCCAAUGGCGAAAGUAUGUGAGGGAUUCUGGAACAAAUUCUUCUGAUUAAAUUCUUUCUAAAUGUGCUUCAAA